UGGGGAAUCUUGGACAAUGGGCGCAAGCCUGAUCCAGCCAUGCCGCGUGAGUGAAGAAGGCCUUAGGGUUGUAAAGCUCUUUUGGCAGGGACGAUAAUGACGGUACCUGCAGAAUAAGCCCCGGCAAACUUCGUGCCAGCAGCCGCGGUAAUACGAAGGGGGCUAGCGUUGUUCGGAUUUACUGGGCGUAAAGCGCACGUAGGCGGAUUGUUAAGUCAGGGGUGAAAUCCCGGAGCUCAACUCCGGAACUGCCUUUGAUACUGGCAAUCUUGAGGCUGGAAGAGGUUGGUAGAAUUCCCAGUGUAGAGGUGAAAUUCGUAGAUAUUGGGAAUAAUACGAGUCGCGAAGGCGGGCAACUGGGCCAGAUCUGACGCUGAGGUGCGAAAGCGUGGGGAGCAAAC
rnacentral:rRNA from 1 species